rnacentral:rRNA from 1 species
CCUACGGGUGGCAGCAGUCGAGAAUCAUUCACAAUGGGGGAAACCCUGAUGGUGCGACGCCGCGUGGGGGAAUGAAGGUCUUCGGAUUGUAAACCCCUGUCAUGUGGGAGCAAAUUAAAAAGAUAGUACCACAAGAGGAAGAGACGGCUAACUCGGUGCCAGCAGCCGCGGUAAUACAGAGGUCUCAAGCGUUGUUCGGAAUCACUGGGCGUAAAGCGUGCGUAGGCUGUUUCGUAAGUCGUGUGUGAAAGGCGCGGGCUCAACCCGCGGACGGCACAUGAUACUGGGAGACUAGAGUAAGGGAGGGGGAACCGGAAUUCUCGGUGUAGCAGUGAAAUGCGUAGAUAUCGAGAGGAACACUCGUGGCGAAGGCGGGUUCCUGGACAUUAACUGACGCUGAGGCACGAAGGCCAGGGGAGCGAAAGGGAUUAGAUACCCUGGUAGUC